ACUCUGUUUCAACGGCCGCGGUAUCCUAACCGUGCGAAGGUAGCGUAAUCACUUGUUCUUUAAAUGAGGACUAGUAUGAAUGGCACCACGAAGGUUAUACUGUCUCCUUUUUCUAAUCAGUGAAACUAAUCUCCCCGUGAAGAAGCGGGGAUAAAAAUAUAAGACGAGAAGACCCUAUGGAGCUUUAAACUAAGUAACACCUGCUCUCAAACAUCUUUACUUCCGAGUGCCAACAAUAACUUCGGCUUGCUGAUUACUAGUUUUAGGUUGGGGUGACCGCGGAGUAUAAAACAACCUCCGCAUUGAAUGGGGACUUCCCUGAGCCACGAGCUACAACUCUAUGCACUAACAUAUUAACAUUUAUUGACCCAAUAUUUUUGAUCAACGAACUAAGUUACCCUAGGGAUAACAGCGCAAUCCGCUUCAAGAGCUCCUAUCGACAAGCGGGUUUACGACCUCGAUGUUGGAUCAGGGUAUCCCAGUGGUGCAGCCGCUACUAAAGGUUCGUUUGUUCAACGAUUAAAACCCUACGUGAUCUGAGUCCA
rnacentral:rRNA from 1 species